rnacentral:rRNA from 1 species
UAUCUCUGUAGAGUCUGCAUAUCAAUAAGCGGAGGAAAAGAAACUAACUAGGAUUCCCUCAGUAACGGCGAGUGAAGCGGGAAGAGCUCAAAUUUGAAAUCUUCAAGGUUUUACCUUGACGAAUUGUAGUUUAAAGAAGUGUUUUCUGUUGGAGUUUUGGUAAAAGUUCUUUGGAAUAGGACAUCAUAGAGGGUGAGAAUCCCGUAUUUGACCAUUAUUUCCAGCUUUGUGAUACACUUUCAAAGAGUCGGAUUGUUUGGGAAUGCAGUCCAAAAUGGGUGGUAAAUUUCAUCUAAAGCUAAAUACUGGCGAGAGACCGAUAGCGAACAAGUACCGUGAGGGAAAGAUGAAAAGAACUUUGAAAAGAGAGUUAAACAGUACGUGAAAUUGUCAAAAGGGAAGCGUUUGACACCAGUGUUGUUUUCUCGAAAAUCAAUUAAAAAUGGUGGGAUUUUGUGUUGUAUUGACUUUAUCGGCUUUCUGCACUCUUUUCCUGUCUUUUUUAAUGCACUUUUCGUUUAACAAGUCAACAUCAAUUUCUUUUGUUGUAAAAGAGUCAUUGGAAGGUGGCUUUCUUUUCGGAGAAAGUGUUUAUAGCCUUUGGCUUCUGCAAUCGGAGAGAUUGAGGUCUGCAGCGUAGAUCCUUCGGGGUUAGAUACAUUUGUGCUAAGUUAUAGCCUUUCAUAGACAACUUGUUGACUAUGAUCAGUCAUGUAGCUUACUCGCUUAUGCUAUUUUACCUACGCUUAGGAUGUUGAGUCAUCACACAUCUCU